rnacentral:RNase_P_RNA from 1 species
CGAGUCGGCCGAACGGCCGCGGGUACAGGGCGGCGACGCCGUACCCGAGGAAAGUCCGAACAGCGCAGGGCAGAGUGCCAGGUAACGCCUGGCGGGGGCGACCCCAGGGAAAGUGCCACAGAAAAGAAAACCGCCUGGACGUGAGCGGAGGCUCACGGGCGCCCGGUCGGACCCGAACGGGCGGCCCGCGCGGCAUCGGGUCCCGUCCAGGUAAGGAUGAAACGGUGCGGUAAGAGCGCACCAGCGGCCGGGCGACCGGCCGGCUUGGCAAACCCCACUCGCUGCAAGACCAAAUAGGGGAGGGAUGACGUGGCCCGCCGACCUCCCGGGUUGGUCGCUUGAGGCGGCAGGCGACUGCCGUCCCAGAGAAAUGGCCGUUCUCGACAGAAUUCGGCUUACAGGCCGGCUCGAAGC